rnacentral:rRNA from 1 species
UACAGAGGCCUCGAGCGUUAGGCGGAAUCACUGGGCUUAAAGCGUGUGUAGGCGGACUUCUAAGUACCUUGUGAAAUCCCACGGCUUACCCGUGGAACUGCUUGGUAUACUGGUUGUCUUGAGCCACCUAGGGGCGAGUGGAACAAAUGGUGGAGCGGUGAAAUGCGUAGAGAUGUGGAGGAACACCAGUGGCGAAGGCGACUCUUUGGUCUGUAACUGACGCUGAGGCGCGAAAGCGUGGGGAGCAAACAGG